rnacentral:rRNA from 1 species
GACGAACGCUGGCGGCGUGCCUAAUACAUGCAAGUUGAGCGAUGAAGCUUGGUGCUUGCACCAAUUUGAAGAGCAGCGAACGGGUGAGUAACGCGUGGGGAAUCUGCCUUUGAGCGGGGGACAACAUUUGGAAACGAAUGCUAAUACCGCAUAACAACUUUAAACAUAAGUUUUAAGUUUGAAAGAUGCAAUUGCAUCACUCAAAGAUGAUCCCGCGUUGUAUUAGCUAGUUGGUGAGGUAAAGGCUCACCAAGGCGAUGAUACAUAGCCGACCUGAGAGGGUGAUCGGCCACAUUGGGACUGAGACACGGCCCAAACUCCUACGGGAGGCAGCAGUAGGGAAUCUUCGGCAAUGGACGAAAGUCUGGCCGAGCAACGCCGCGUGAGUGAAGAAGGUUUUCGGAUCGUAAAACUCUGUUGGUAGAGGAGAACGUUGGUGAGAGUGGAAAGCUCAUCAAGUGACGGUAACUACCCAGAAAGGGACGGCUAACUACGUG